rnacentral:lncRNA from 1 species
CUCGGGAGCGCGCGGCGCUGGGACCGCAGCCCGCGGUCCUUAAUAAACAGCCGAGCGACGGUGCGGAACGUGCUGCGUUCUUCUGGAGCGCGUUCCCGUCUCCUGACGCGCUCGGACGCCGAGGCGAUCCGCGGCCGAGGAGAGUCCCGUCGGUAGCGGACGUUGUAUGGUUCGGCCGUGCCGUCCCGGCUGAGCCGAGCGGGGCGGUGUCACUGCGGCCUCCCCCGGGGCUGCUGCCCAUGCACCCAAACGUGCUCGCAGUGACCUCGCGAAGGAGUCCUGAAGUGUGCGGGCAGGAAGAGGGCAACUGGGAAAUCGUGAGAGCCCUUACGGCUGCUGGGUGCCUCAGGGCGGCGUUGGGAAGAACGCGGCGUGAGUUUUCUUCCAGCUUCAGGCUCACCGUGAUGCUCAUCUCACCUUCCCGUGCAAGCAGAGCGCAGGGCUCACCUCUGCCAUCUUUUCCAUGCAGUGCAAAGGAAGCUGAAUGCACCAUCAGCCAUUUCCAGCACACCAUAAGAGCCCCGUGGCUCCCACGGCCUCCUUGGGCAACCUGUGUUCACCGCACGGCUUCUGUGGGAAGAUCCAUACGGAUAAGGGAGCAUGGGAAGGACCUCAGAGGACACGUACCCCACAGGCAGCUGGGGGUGGCACUUAGGGCAGGAUUUUCCUGCGUUACUAUGGAAGAAAUGAUAGAGAUUUGAGAAAAAAAAUAUUGUCAUUUCUGCAGUAUUUCCCUAUAACUCAAUUCAGUCGUUUUCUGCCUCCUGCCACAGCGCGGUUGCAACUUGCAGCACGUCCUGCGUUUGAUGCUUUGGGUUAUUCAGCUGAAAAGAGGAGGGGAAGAGAACGUGCAGGCACAAUUACGGCCUUGUGCAAUCCCCUUGUGUACACUGCACGGGUUUGAAGAAAGACCUGCUG